rnacentral:misc_RNA from 1 species
UCACCUCUCAAGCCUGGCUUGUUGUUGGACUUGUGGUCUGGGUUCACCCCCGACCAGUCCCAAAAGUAAUGACGGCGUCGCGUGAGACUCUCGGUGCAACGAGCUUUUUCUAAAGGCACGCACGGAGUUGAAAGGUUUCCCGGCACGGUCUUAACACCUAUUUUCUAA